AGAGAUUUAGGUUAUGAAAUAAACCGAUCGUCUUCAAAAUGAUAGAAGCGUUUUCGCAGUCUCAG
rnacentral:tRNA from 1 species